UACGAAGGGGGCUAGCGUUGUUCGGAAUCACUGGGCGUAAAGCGCGUGUAGGUGGGUAUGCAAGCCAGGGGUGAAAGCCCCGAGCUCAACUCUGGAAUUGCCUUUGGAACUGCAUAUCUAGAGUCUUGUAGGGGGUAGUGGAAUUCCUAGUGUAGAUGUGAAAUUCGUAGAUACUAGGAGGAACACCGGUGGCGAAGUCGGCUACCUGGACGAUAACUGACACUGAGACGCGAAAGCGUGGGGAUCAAACAGG
rnacentral:rRNA from 1 species